rnacentral:rRNA from 1 species
GACGAACGCUGGCGGCGUGCUUAACACAUGCAAGUCGAACGGAAAGGCCCUGCUUUUGUGGGGUGCUCGAGUGGCGAACGGGUGAGUAACACGUGAGUAACCUGCCCUUGACUUUGGGAUAACUUCAGGAAACUGGGGCUAAUACCGGAUAGGAGCUCCUGCUGCAUGGUGGGGGUUGGAAAGUUUCGGCGGUUGGGGAUGGACUCGCGGCUUAUCAGCUUGUUGGUGGGGUAGUGGCUUACCAAGGCUUUGACGGGUAGCCGGCCUGAGAGGGUGACCGGCCACAAUGGGACUGAGAUACGGCGCAGACUCCUACGGGAGGCAGCAGUGGGGAAUAUUGCACAAUGGGCGGAAGCGUGAUGCAGCAACGCCGCGUGCGGGAUGACGGCCUUCGGGUUGUAAACCGCUUUCGCCUGUGACGAAGCGUGAGUGACGGUAAUGGGUAAAGAAGCACCGGCUAACUACGUG